GGGGGAAUAUUGCACAAUGGGGGAAACCCUGAUGCAGCGACGCCGCGUGAGCGAAGAAGGUUUUCGAAUCGUAAAGCUCUGUCCUACGGGAAGAUAAUGACGGUACUAUAGGAGGAAGCUCCGGCUAACUACGUGCCAGCAGCCGCGGUAAUACGUAGGGGGCAAGCGUUGUCCGGAAUCACUGGGCGUAACGGGUUAGCAGGCGGAAAUGCAAGUCAGUUGUGAAAGGCAGAGGCUCAACCUCUGUAAGCAAUUGAAACUGUAUUUCUUGAGAUGUGGAGAGGCAAGUGGAAUUCCUAGUGUAGCGGUGAAAUGCGUAGAUAUUAGGAAGAAUACCGGUGGCGAAGGCGACUUGCUGGACACAAACUGACGCUGAGGAACGAAAGCGUGGGUAGCAAACAGG
rnacentral:rRNA from 1 species